rnacentral:rRNA from 1 species
UACGUAGGGGGCGAGCGUUGUCCGGAUUUAUUGGGCGUAAAGAGCUCGUAGGCGGUUUGGCAAGUCGGGUGUGAAAACUCCGGGCUCAACUCGGAGACGCCACUCGAUACUGCUAUGACUCGAGUCCGGUAGGGGAGUGCGGAAUUCCUGGUGUAGCGGUGAAAUGCGCAGAUAUCAGGAGGAACACCGGUGGCGAAGGCGGCACUCUGGGCCGGUACUGACGCUGAGGAGCGAAAGCGUGGGGAGCGAUCCGG